GGGAGAUGGGGAUGCAUGUAUUGAAAUUCUGCCACAUGGUAGAUGGGGCUGUCUUUGAAGAUGAACAUAUUUGAGGUCAAUCUCACUGCCCCUCCUCCAAUCUCACCCUCCAGCGUUUUGAUCCAAGUGCCCACAGUUCUGAUGAAUGUCAAAGGCAAGCUUGAGGAGGGAAGAGGAAAUGAUUAGUCCUUUACACUCCAGGUCAAUUUACUAAGGAUGAAUUCUCCAAAUGAUCAGCCGGAUUUUCAAAUGGUGUCAGAAGCGGUAUCCGAAGUGGAGCUUCUAGCGACCACUAGGAGGGCUGAGUGAACACGCAAGCUACCUGCAGGACCCACUUGUCUCAGAUUUUGGAGCUCCGUGGAUUUGUGUUUUGAGCUCUCCGAGUUUCUUUGAACAAAUUUCUGAUCCAAACUGGGUUUGGAGUCGCAACAGAAACUGGACUGGGUCCAGGAAUGGAUUUGAUCCAGAAAUUAACUGGCUUGGAUCAAGUUAGAGGCCUCUUACGUCUGACUGGGUGAGAAAGGAACAGGUGGAUUUUGAACAUUCACAGGGAUUUUUGCAUUAUAUCCCUUUGUUUCAUUUUUCUUGCACGCUUAGGUAGGGGAAAAAAAUCAUUGGCUAAGUUAAUCAAGAGAACCUGAGCAUAAAGCCAAUAUUUGAGGUAAAAAUGGGAUCCUUAAUUUCUGGAAAACCGAGUUCCUUCUGGCUUAUACUUUAGGCCUGGGAGGCAGUGAAGUCUUACAGAAACAGCAAAAUCUUACUAAAGAUACCUUACAGUGGAACAUUCCCAAAGAACAACAAUGCAUUGAAGUACAUUUAAAAAAUGAGGGCUCUUGGUAAAGUCCCUUUUAGCUGAGAAAGGGUUUGGCACUCCAGCAUGUCAAUUGCUGUUCUCUUUGGCAUAAUCUGCCUUGCACUCUUUGCUGAUGGCUGUGGGUGACAGGAUUAGGCAUGUACAGGAUCGUGGGACAUGGGAAGCUUUUUCUUCCCUAAAAGGGGAAACUUUAGAGAUGAUGGGACCGUUGGAAAAGAUCCAUUUGGUACCAAGAAGCAGCGGCCUGAACUUUUCAGUGUCGCUGCAAUAGGUGGGUCUUUCUGUGGCCUCCCUGAUCAUUUCACCUUCCCCACCUUGCCACAGGCAAUGCUUUUCUCUCUCUCCUUUCCCUUUCUUAUGUUUUCUAUUACUCAGGGAGACCACCUUGCCCAGAGACCACAGGUUGAAACUCCUGGUCGGAGGUUGGAUUAACAAUGAUGGGGCCCAACCAGGGGCAAAUUUGAGCCUUGCUGGUUUGACAUUGGGUGCCAACCACAGUGGCUAAUGUCUAUGUUUUUGUCACACAUAUUUUACUCUGGCCAGGACAAAAAAAAGAUAAUUUUCCUUUAUGAUGUGGCUUUGCCCCAGUGCGAUGGUGUGGCAAGCUGAGUCACUAGGGGCGCUCAUGGAAAGCGUACCCAGAAGCCUGGCAUCCCGGCAAAAAGUUAAGAAUUUCUUACCAGUUAGAUUUCAGGCUUCUCUCUCUCUCUGUGCAAAUGGUUGAAUGAACGGUAAAAAUUGCUGUUUAUCUCCAUUUUGUUUUACGUCCUUGGGAGCUUGACCUUGUAACCAUGUGGCGGUACUUUCUCUUGGUUUCCGCCUUCCAGGGAACAGGAAUUUUAGGGCUUAUGUCAUAGUUAGCUCUAAAAAUUAUCUCGAGUAGCUAAAAGCCUUUGCAAGCUCAAAAUUAACUACUCUAGAUUCCUCCUGGGAGAGGUCAUAAAAGAUUGCCCCAUGUUGGAGCUCAGUAGCUAAGGCUUUGCUCUUUCAUACUGGUGGUCUGGGUUCAAUUCCCUGCCUAUGAAGUAAGUUGCGUUUAGUUUAAUAUUUGUAUGACCUUGUCUAGUCUCUUCUCCAUGUACUAUCUAAUUUUCCUUUCUCUGAGCACCUGGGAGGUUACCUUUGGUAGAGUUCAAAAGCCAGAAAUACCAGCCGUUUGGCCUGGCUAAAAUUGGGUAAUAAAAAAUUUUAAAAGGACUUUAUUAAAGAGUGCUAUGGUUAAAAGUCAGCUUAAUUAAAAGUGGAUAUUGAAGCUCUAACUGCCUGGACUUCUUGGGAAAAACAGAAGGCACCAGAAAUCCCUUUCUGGCCCUCUUCUUCCAAGGGCUCCACCCAAAAGCCAAUAACCAGUUAAGAAACAUAAAAACUGGCAAAAUAAAAAAUCUUACAACUACUGUGGUAAAAAAAAAAAAAAAAAAAAAAAAAAAAAAAAAAAAAAAAAAAAAAAAAAAAAAAAAAAAAAAAAAAAAAAAAAAAAAAAAA
rnacentral:lncRNA from 1 species